AAAACCUGAUCGUGAUUCCCGCCGCCGAUGGCCUG
rnacentral:tRNA from 1 species